CUCUGUUCCUGGGGAUUCACCUUUCCGACCAGAGCACCGCCAGGACUGCCUCUUCAGGGAUCCAUGCUAUGGCGAUUGAAUCAUGGGAUUAAUGAUUCAGAAUCUCCAAUAAUAGAAGAGGGGAGAGGACUGUGAAUUAGCAAAGUUAGAGAAGUCCUUUAAGGAGAUGAAAUGUUUACCACAUUUGCUCUCAGAAACUUAUGCACAGAGUUCCACAAAGCAAUAAAGCUCGGCUCUAUCUACCAGCAUAUGCGUGAGUAUUUUUCCUAAUAUGGUGAAGAGGAUGAAAAUGGUGAAGAUGUCCUUUCAAAAGAAAGUAAAGGAAGCGCUUUGAAAAGAUCAUCCAACC